GUCCUACGGGUGGCUGCAGUGGGGAAUAUUGCACAAUGGGCGAAAGCCUGAUGCAGCAACGCCGCGUGAGUGAUGAAGGCCUUCGGGUUGUAAAGCUCUGUCUUUUGGGACGAUAAUGACGGUACCAAAGGAGGAAGCCACGGCUAACUACGUGCCAGCAGCCGCGGUAAUACGUAGGUGGCAAGCGUUGUCCGGAUUUACUGGGCGUAAAGGAUGCGUAGGCGGAUUUUUAAGUCAGAUGUGAAAUACCCGAGCUUAACUUGGGUGCUGCAUUUGAAACUGGAAAUCUAGAGUGCGGGAGAGGAGAGUGGAAUUCCUAGUGUAGCGGUGAAAUGCGUAGAGAUUAGGAAGAACACCAGUGGCGAAGGCGACUCUCUGGACCGUAACUGACGCUGAGGCAUGAAAGCGUGGGUAGCAAACAGGAUUAGAUACCCUAGUAGUCAGU
rnacentral:rRNA from 1 species